rnacentral:lncRNA from 1 species
GCACCGUCAGGGCUUCUGUGUGCCUGGACUGUAGAUUCAGCGACACUAGCUCAGAAUAAACCUUGUCAAUGAAACAGUCCAGCACUGUCCACAGGAGAGAUCGCUGUCAUCCUAAAAGGUCUUUCUUUCCUCACCGCUCAGGCGAGACACCUGAGGGCUUAGACCUAUGGCCAUCCUACGUUCAAAAGGUUACAGUUGCCGUGGUCCAGGUCCACUGUGGUUGCCAGGAAACAGCACAUUGCACAAAUCCCAAGGGCUCAGCCUGGGUUCGCCCUCACAUAAAGGGAAACCAAAAAGUUAGAGAGAACUGGUUGGUCAAAAAUUUCAUUCUAGGAUGCCGCCAAGCCCUGCCCAGAAAACAUUGCUUCUUUAUAAAUAAUAAUUAAAAAAUAAAAAAGGA